GGUUACAUGUUGUGUGAAUUUUGUCUUAUUAAAGUAUUACCUAGGGACUGGAACCACAGCUCAGUGGUUAGGGACACUUGUUGCUCUUGCAGAGGACCUGGAUUUGGUUCCCAGCACCCACAUGGUGGACCAUGAUCACCCACGCUCCAAUUGCAGGGGACUCAGUGCCGCCUUCUGGCCUCUGAGAGCACCAGACAUUUAUGUAGUACACAUUAAAUAAAUCUUCAAAAAGAAAACACAAACCAAAACAACAACACCAAAAACAAGCAAACAAAAAAUGAACCCACCAAAAACUCACAAAUUAUUGUCUACAAAUCCUGUCCUACAAAUAACAAAGUGAAACUUUUUGUUGUGGGAAUACUCAAAUUACACAAAUGUUAAGAAUAAUUGUGGGGGGUUUUGUUUGUUGUUUGUUUUUAACAAACAGUCGUUGGCCAGCUCCUCCAAAUAUGAACAUUUUAGAAAUCUUUUCAGGAUUUUUUUCUCCUUAAUUUUAUUACCAGAAUUCUGAACAUCAGAAAAUUUGGAAGAUUAUACAAUGAAUGUCAAGUAUUCCUGCCUGUAUUUUCCCACUAACACGUUAUUCUGCCUGCCCUCAUCUGUAUCGGUCUGUUCUCUUGUCUAUCAUCAACUCAUCUUUUGAAAUUUAUUUCAAUGUGAAAUCUAUAUACAUCCUUUAUGUGAUACACAUGUAAAAGCCUGUGUCAUUCACAUUGAAAAUAUUUGGGGAGCAGUACAUGCCGGAGCUACCUGGCUAUGUGAUGGUCGAAGGUCAACCUUCAGGAGCCAGUUCAUUUCCAUCGUGUGGUUUGGGGGAUCAGGCUCACAUCCUCAAGCUCGGCAGCAGGGCCUUUGCCUGCAGAGCAUCUCUUGCUGGCUCUGCUAGAAAUGUUUUUAAUUGCUUGGAGACCAUAAAAUAAACUCUUCUCGUAGAGUUUUGAAUGUCA